rnacentral:rRNA from 1 species
CCUACGGGUGGCAGCAGUGGGGAAUAUUGGACAAUGGGCGAAAGCCUGAUCCAGCCAUGCCGCGUGUGUGAAGAAGGCCUUCGGGUUGUAAAGCACUUUCAGUGGGGAAGAAAGCCUUGGGGCUAAUACCCUCGAGGAAGGACAUCACCCACAGAAGAAGCACCGGCUAACUCCGUGCCAGCAGCCGCGGUAAUACGGAGGGUGCGAGCGUUAAUCGGAAUUACUGGGCGUAAAGCGCGCGUAGGCGGUCUGAUAAGCCGGUUGUGAAAGCCCCGGGCUCAACCUGGGAACGGCAUCCGGAACUGUCAGGCUAGAGUGCAGGAGAGGAAGGUAGAAUUCCCGGUGUAGCGGUGAAAUGCGUAGAGAUCGGGAGGAAUACCAGUGGCGAAGGCGGCCUUCUGGACUGACACUGACGCUGAAGUGCGAAAGCGUGGGUAGCAAACAGGAUUAGAUACCCCUGUAGUC